GACGAACGCUGGCGGCGUGCCUAAUACAUGCAAGUCGAGCGGAUCUUCAUUAGCUUGCUUUUGAAGAUCAGCGGCGGACGGGUGAGUAACACGUGGGCAACCUGCCUGUAAGACUGGGAUAACUUCGGGAAACCGGAGCUAAUACCGGAUAAUCCUUUCCCUCACAUGAGGGAAAGCUGAAAGACGGUUUCGGCUGUCACUUACAGAUGGGCCCGCGGCGCAUUAGCUAGUUGGUGGGGUAACGGCUCACCAAGGCGACGAUGCGUAGCCGACCUGAGAGGGUGAUCGGCCACACUGGGACUGAGACACGGCCCAGACUCCUACGGGAGGCAGCAGUAGGGAAUCUUCCGCAAUGGGCGAAAGUCUGACGGAGCAACGCCGCGUGAGCGAUGAAGGCCUUCGGGUCGUAAAGCUCUGUUGUCAGGGAAGAACAAGUAUCGGAGUAACUGCCGGUACCUUGACGGUACCUGACCAGAAAGCCACGGCUAACUACGUGCCAGCAGCCGCGGUAAAAC
rnacentral:rRNA from 1 species